rfam:Nicotiana attenuata strain TT scaffold02371, whole genome shotgun sequence.
UGGACAGAUUAUUGUAUUCGACUGUAUUCACGGCGUGAAACAAGAGAUUACACUGUUUUUAAACGGAAAGUGAAUCAAUUAACAUAAUAUACUCCU